CCCCCCCCCCCUCGCGCCGCCGCCUCGCGCUACCACCGUCGGUCGCCGGCCCCCGCCACGACCCCUUCGUCAGCUACCGGAUCCGGCGCCGUCCGUCACCACCGCCGUCGAAGAAAGCCCGUAGGCCGCCUGUGUCCUCUUGCCGCCCGAUGUGACGAGGAGCUCGGCGGCGCCACACGGAGCUCAACCGAUCCGCAUCAUCCGCGCCGCUUAAAGUGAUUAUGAUUUGUGAAUCAACGGAUUUGAGAUUUGAACCUAGACAAGGAAGGGCUCUUGGAGCAACUGCUACAGUGAGCUGCUCUACUGGUUAGUUGGUCACUUGGCCGUCACUUGUCAGUAUCACAGAACUCUCCUGAGCGCGGUGUCUUCCCGGCGACGACAGCGUGGGUGAUGACAUCUCUCCUGGUGUGUCCCCGAAAAUCUUGCGAGGCGUUCGGGGAGGUGCUAGUUACAUCUGCGGCCUCGGUGCCGGUGAAGUGACCGCGCGCGUUGAGGGUGUUGGUGGCGCCGGGCAGCAGUGCCCUUCCUGCGCGGUGGACAAGUGCAAGGAGGUGCUGAGCAGGUGCCACGACUAGCACCGGUGGCACAAGGUGUGUGAGGCGCUCUCCAAGCUGCCCGUCGUUGUCGCCGAUUGUGAGAUGCUCUUCUGCCAACAGUGCAUCAGGUAACCAAUAGUUUGUCCAGAUAGAAAACUAAAUCUUGGUAAUUGAUCUUCAAGCUAAGUAUGUUGGGGAUAAGGAGGAGCAGAGGUGGCCUAAAUCUGAUGGACUUUUUGGCAGUUUGGGAAGCAUUUGGGAUAUGGCAGGUAAUUUACACAAGCAUGAACCAUAAAAGGCAGGGUUUCUCCUACAUGAUUGCAUUAGCUCAAGUAUCAAAAGUAAUGGUGUAACUGCAAUCUAAGUCUUACUGAGGCAUAUAUGUGUGUUGCACUUAUCAAUUAACGUGUGACUGGGAGAGAUCAACUUUACUGCUUGUUGUUGCAUUUACAUA